GAUGAAGAACGCAGCGAAAUGCGAUAAGUAGUGUGAAUUGCAGAAUUCAGUGAAUCAUCGAAUCUUUGAACGCACAUUGCGCCCUUUGGUAUCCCUUAGGGCAUGCCUGUUCGAGCGUCAUUUAAACCUUCAAGCUAAGCUUGGUGUUGGGUGACUGUCCGCUUCACGGCGGACUCGCCUCAAAAUUAUUGGCGGCCGGUACAUUGGCUUCGAGCGCAGCAGAAACGCGAACUCGGGCCCGUCGUAUUGGCUCCCAGAAGCUAUCUUCACAAUUUUGACCUCGGAUCAGGUAGGGAUACCCGCUGAACUUAAGCAUAUCAAUAACGGAGGA
rnacentral:misc_RNA from 1 species